GAUGAACGCUGGCGGCGUGCCUAAUACAUGCAAGUCGAGCGAACGGACGAGAAGCUUGCUUCUCUGAUGUUAGCGGCGGACGGGUGAGUAACACGUGGAUAACCUACCUAUAAGACUGGGAUAACUUCGGGAAACCGGAGCUAAUACCGGAUAAUAUUUUGAACCGCAUGGUUCAAAAGUGAAAGACGGUCUUGCUGUCACUUAUAGAUGGAUCCGCGCUGCAUUAGCUAGUUGGUAAGGUAACGGCUUACCAAGGCAACGAUGCAUAGCCGACCUGAGAGGGUGAUCGGCCACACUGGAACUGAGACACGGUCCAGACUCCUACGGGAGGCAGCAGUAGGGAAUCUUCCGCAAUGGGCGAAAGCCUGACGGAGCAACGCCGCGUGAGUGAUGAAGGUCCUCGGAUCGUAAAACUCUGUUAUUAGGGAAGAACAUAUGUGUAAGUAACUGUGCACAUCUGGACGGUACCUAAUCAGAAAGCCACGGCUAACUACGU
rnacentral:rRNA from 1 species